rnacentral:rRNA from 1 species
CCUACGGGUGGCAGCAGUGGGGAAUAUUGGGCAAUGGGCGCAAGCCUGACCCAGCAACGCCGCGUGAAGGAAGAAGGCUUUCGGGUUGUAAACUUCUUUUGUCAGGGAAGAGUAGAAGACGGUACCUGACGAAUAAGCCACGGCUAACUACGUGCCAGCAGCCGCGGUAAUACGUAGGUGGCAAGCGUUGUCCGGAUUUACUGGGUGUAAAGGGCGUGUAGCCGGGUUGACAAGUCAGAUGUGAAAUGCCGCAGCUUAACUGCGGAACUGCUUUGGAAACUGGCGAACUAGAGUGCGGGAGGGGUAAGCGGAAUUCCUAGUGUAGCGGUGAAAUGCGUAGAUAUUAGGAGGAACACCGGUGGCGAAGGCGACCUGCUGGAACAUUACUGACGCUGAUGCACGAAAGCGUGGGGAGCAAACAGGAUUAGAUACCCCUGUAGUC